rnacentral:rRNA from 1 species
UACGAAGGGGGCUAGCGUUGCUCGGAAUUACUGGGCGUAAAGCGUGCGCAGGCGGCGCGUUAAGACAGGUGUGAAAGCCCCGAGCUUAACUUGGGAAUUGCGCUUGUGACUGGCGUGCUGGAGUGUGGCAGAGGGAGGUGGAAUUCCACGUGUAGCAGUGAAAUGCGUAGAGAUGUGGAGGAACACCGAUGGCGAAGGCAGCCUCCUGGGCCAGCACUGACGCUCAUGCACGAAAGCGUGGGAAGCAAACAGG